UAUUUCCUGCAGCGUUCGAGACUCGCUGGGUUACUUCUUGAGCCUAAUCUAAAACCCCGGGAGCUUCCGGCGGUUGAUGUGCGCAAGUCCGCCCCGAGCGGAAAGCCUGAUUCGACCAUCGCUGAUCCCACCUGAACCAUUGGUUCAAGGGCGAAAGCGUGUCACGGCGCAGGCGGGAGAUAC
rnacentral:other from 1 species